AUUGAACGCUGGCGGCAGGCUUAACACAUGCAAGUCGAGCGGGGUGAUGGUGCUUGCACUAUCACUUAGCGGCGGACGGGUGAGUAAUGCUUAGGAAUCUGCCUAUUAGUGGGGGACAACAUCUCGAAAGGGAUGCUAAUACCGCAUACGUCCUACGGGAGAAAGCAGGGGAUCACUUGUGACCUUGCGCUAAUAGAUGAGCCUAAGUCGGAUUAGCUAGUUGGUGGGGUAAAGGCCUACCAAGGCGACGAUCUGUAGCGGGUCUGAGAGGAGGAUCGGCCACACUGGGACUGAGACAGGGCCCAAACGCCUACGGGAGGCAGCAGGGGGGAAUAUUGGACAAUGGGGGGAACCCUGAUCCAGCCAUGCCGCGUGUGUGAAGAAGGCCUUAUGGUUGUAAAGCACUUUAAGCGAGGAGGAGGCUCUUUUGGUUAAUACCCAAGAUGAGUGGACGUUACUCGCAGAAUAAGCACCGGCUAACUCUGUGCCAGCCGCCGCCGUAA
rnacentral:rRNA from 1 species